CGCGUAGGCGGAUUCGCAAGUCAGGGGUGAAAUCCCGAGGCUCAACCUCGGAACUGCCUUUGAUACUGCGAAUCUCGAGUCCGAGAGAGGUGAGUGGAAUUCCUAGUGUAGAGGUGAAAUUCGUAGAUAUUAGGAAGAACACCAGUGGCGAAGGCGGCUCACUGGCUCGGUACUGACGCUGAGGCGCGAAAGCGGUGGGGAGCAAACA
rnacentral:rRNA from 1 species